ensembl:rRNA 5S_rRNA 5S ribosomal RNA
GCUUACGGCCAAACCAGCCUGAAUGUGCCUGAUCUCGUCAGAUCUCGGAAGCUAAGCAGGGUUGGGCUUGGUUAGUACUUGGAUGGGAGACUUCCUGGGAAUACCAGGUGCUGUAAGCA